CCUACGGGUGGCAGCAGUGGGGAAUAUUGGACAAUGGGCGAAAGCCUGAUCCAGCCAUGCCGCGUGUGUGAAGAAGGCCUUAGGGUUGUAAAGCACUUUCAGUGGGGAAGAAAGCAUUAGGGUUAAUACCCUCGAGGAAGGACAUCACCCACAGAAGAAGCACCGGCUAACUCCGUGCCAGCAGCCGCGGUAAUACGGAGGGUGCGAGCGUUAAUCGGAAUUACUGGGCGUAAAGCGCGCGUAGGCGGUCUGAUAAGCCGGUUGUGAAAGCCCCGGGCUCAACCUGGGAACGGCAUCCGGAACUGUCAGGCUAGAGUGCAGUAGAGGAAGGUAGAAUUCCCGGUGUAGCGGUGAAAUGCGUAGAGAUCGGGAGGAAUACCAGUGGCGAAGGCGGCCUUCUGGACUGACACUGACGCUGAGGUGCGAAAGCGUGGGUAGCAAAUAGGAUUAGAUACCCCUGUAGUC
rnacentral:rRNA from 1 species